rnacentral:rRNA from 1 species
GUAGGUGGCAAGCGUUGUCCGGAAUUAUUGGGCGUAAAGCGCGCGCAGGCGGUUCUUUAAGUCUGAUGUGAAAGCCCACGGCUCAACCGUGGAGGGUCAUUGGAAACUGGAGAACUUGAGUACAGAAGAGGAAAGCGGAAUUCCACGUGUAGCGGUGAAAUGCGUAGAGAUGUGGAGGAACACCAGUGGCGAAGGCGGCUUUCUGGUCUGUAACUGACGCUGAGGCGCGAAAGCGUGGGGGAGCAAACAGGAUUAGAUACCCUGGUAGUCCACGCCGUAAACGAUGAGUGCUAAGUGUUAGGGGGUUUUCCGCCCCUUAGUGCUGCAGCUAGCGCAUUAAGCACUCCCGCCUGGGGAGUACGGCCGCAAGGCUG